AUGUCCAUCAAGUUGGUGAUGCCAACUAGCCAUCUGAUCUUCUGUCGUCCUCUUCUCCUCCUGCCCCCAAUCCCUCACAGCAUCAGAGUCUUUUCCAUUGAGUCAGCUCUUCACAUGAGGUGUCCAAAGUAUUGCAGUUUCAGAUUUAACAUCAGUCCUUCCAAAGAACUGGCUGAUGUUCAAGCUGGUUUUAGAAAAGGCAGAGGAACCAGAGAUGAAAUUGCCAACAUCCGCUGGAUCAUGGAAAAAGCAAGAGAGUUCCAGAAAAACAUCUAUUUCUGCUUUAUUGACUAUGUCAAAACCUUUGACUGUGUGGAUCACAAUAAACUGUGGAAAAUUCUGAAAGAGAUGGGAAUAUCAGACCAGCUGACCUGCCUCUUGAGAAACCUGUAUGGAGGUCAGGAAGCAACAGUUAGAACUGGACAUGGAACAACAGACUGGUUCCAAAUAGGAAAAGGAGUACGUCAAGGCUGUGUAUUGUCACCCUGCUUAUUUAACUUAUAUGCAGAAUACAUCAUGAGAAACGCUGGACUGGAAGAAACACAAGCUGGAAUCAAGAUUGCUGGGAGAAAUAUCAAUAACCUCAGAUAUGCAGAUGACAUCACCCUUAUGGCAGAAAGUGAAAAGGAAUUAAAAAGCCUCUUGAUGAAAGUGAAAGAGGAGAGAGAAAAAGUUGGCUUAAAGCUCAACAUUCAGAAAACGAAGAUCAUGGCAUCUAGUCCCAUCACUUCAUGGAAAAUAGAUGGGGAAACAGUGGAAACAGUGUCAGACUUUAUUUUGGGGGGCUCCAAAAUCACUGCAGAUGGUGACUGCAGCCAUGAAAUUAAAAGACGCUUACUCCUUGGAAGAAAAGUUAUGACCAACCUAGAUAGUAUAUUCAAAAGCAGAGACAUUACUUUGCUGACUAAGGUCCAUCUACUCAAGGCUAUGGUUUUUCCUGUGGUCAUGCAUGGAUGUGAGAGUUGGACUGUGAAGAAGGCUGAGUGCCGAAUAAUUGAUGCGUUUGAACUGUGGUGUUGGAGAAGACUUUUGAGAGUCCCUUGGACUGCAAGGAGAUCCAACCAGUCCAUUGUGAAGGGGAUCAACCCUGGCAUUUCUUUGGAAGGAAUCAUGCUAAGGCUGAAGCUCCAGUACUUUGGCCAUCUCAUGCGAAGAGUUGACUCAUUGGAAAAGACUCUGAUGCUGGGAGGGAUUGGGGGCAGGAGGAGAAGGGGAUGA
rnacentral:lncRNA from 1 species